rnacentral:snoRNA from 1 species
CGGCCUGAAAUGAUGACUGUAAUUUCAUGUCUCUUCUCUGACAUUUUUCUCUGGAGAUAAUUUUUGCCUUACUGAUCUGAUCAGGCUG